UACGGAGGGUGCGAGCGUUGUCCGGAAUCAUUGGGCGUAAAGGGCGCGUAGGUGGCCCGGUCAGCGUGCGGUGAAAGCUCGGGGCUCAACCCCGAGUCGGCCGUGCGAACUGCUGGGCUGGAGCACUGUAGAGGCAGGCGGAAUUCCGGGUGUAGCGGUGGAAUGCGUAGAGAUCCGGAAGAACACCGGUGGCGAAGGCGGCCUGACUGGGCAGUGGCUGGACACUGAGGCGCGACAGCGUGGGGAGCAAACAGG
rnacentral:rRNA from 1 species